GCUUAACACAUGCAAGUCGAACGGAAUCCAUGGUGUAGCAAUACACCGGAAGAUUUAGUGGCGAACGGGUGAGGAUCACGUGAGAAACCUGCCCCAGACUUUGGGAUAACAAUUGGAAACGAUUGCUAAUACCGAAUGACGUCGGAGAACCGCAUGGUUCACUGACGAAAGGAAAUCCGGUUUGGGAGGGUCUCGCGGCCUAUCAGCUUGUUGGUGGGGUAAUGGCCUACCAAGGCAACGACGGGUAGCUGGUCUGAGAGGAUGAUCAGCCACACUGGGACUGAGACACGGCCCAGACUCCUACGGGAGGCAGCAGUGGGGAAUCUUGCGCAAUGGGCGAAAGCCUGACGCAGCAACGCCGCGUGCGGGAUGAAGGCCUUCGGGCUGUAAACCGCUUUCAGCAGGAACGAAAAUGACGGUACCUGCAGAAGAAGGAGCGGCCAACUACGUGCCAGCAGCCGCGGUGACACGUAGGCUCCAAGCGUUGUCCGGAUUUAUUGGGCGUAAAGAGCUCGUAGGCGGUUUAGUAAGUCGGGUGUUAAAACUCUGGGCUCAACCCGGAGAGGCCAUCCGAUACUGCUGUGACUUGAGUUCAGGAGGGGAGCGGGGAAUUCCUAGUGUAGCGGUGAAAUGCGCAGAUAUUAGGAGGAACACCGGUGGCGAAGGCGCCGCUCUGGACUGAAACUGACGCUGAGGAGCGAAAGCAUGGGUAGCAAACAGGAUUAGAUACCCUGGUAGUCCAUGCCG
rnacentral:rRNA from 1 species